CAUCAUCAAGUGACGGAAAUA
rnacentral:siRNA from 1 species